rnacentral:lncRNA from 15 species
UGACAGAUAUGUUGUAUAAUGAUGGAAGUUGAAUAAAUGUUGUUUAUCAGUGUAUAAGGUAAACUGUCCAAAUACAGUUGUUAUCAGUGUAAACAGCAAUAAUUACUGUAAUCUCACAGAUAAUGACUUUUAUUACACUUCUAUAACUUUUAACAUUCACAUUAAAAUAAUAACAAUCCAAUAAUAACAGCACUCUCCUGGAAAUGUAAGUCUGAUUAUUGUAUUAUAGUUCACCUGGAUUUAUAGAUCAUUGUUAUAUAGUGUAAAUAUCUUUAAUAAAACAUUAAAAAGCCAAAUUUUUAUGUAAAAUUAAAGAUAAAACUAUAUUUGAAUUAUAGGAAUACAGGAAGUACGUCAUUACUGCUAACGUCACGAAACAAAUGAGGAAGUCGGAGGUCAGACAGCGUGGAAACUCACGUCAGAAGCUGAGAGUGAACAGGUGCAAAAUGGGAAACAGUUACUCGUUUUCACCUCUAGCAGCAUCACAGCAUGGUAAGAUGGCGGCCAACGGAAAACUCAGUGAGAAAUGUAUUUGAUAGAUAGAUAGACUUUAUUAAUCCCCGAAGGGAAAUUGGGUAUUGUUGGUGAUGACACAAACAACCUGAAUAAGUAAUAGAGGGGACAUGUGCCAGUUUGACUGGAGGGCAGAAAACACCGGUGCUGGCAUUGUUCCGCUACCUGGCUCGACAUCAUAGGCUGCAACAAAGACGGAAACAGACGAGACGAGUUUUAACUCGCAAUGUUAGUGUAUAAAAUUAAGUGCUGACAAUGUGGAAGUCAGCAACGUGUGAAUGUGAAUGUCUGCAGUAAGGCAAUAACAAAACAGUUGAGCUGUGUAUUGAUGGUAGAGAAGGUGGCGACUUUAUAAUGAACAAAACCGAGGCAGCACCUGUUGUGUUUUCUA